AUUGAACGCUGGCGGCAGGCCUAACACAUGCAAGUCGCGCGCGCGGCGGACGGGUGAGUAAUGUCUGGGAAACUGCCUGAUGGGGGGGGGUAACUCCUGGAAACGGUAGCUAAUACCGCAUACCAUCAGAUGUGCCCAGAUGGGAUUAGCUAGUAGGUGGGGGAACGGCUCACCUCGGAGACGAUCCCUAGCUGGUCUGAGAGGAUGACCAGCCACACUGGAACUGAGACACGGUCCAGACUCCUACGGGAGGCAGCAGUGGGGAAUAUUGCACAAUGGGCGCAAGCCUGAUGCAGCCAGGCCGCGGGUGUGAAGAAGGCCUUCGGGUUGUAAAGCACUUUCAGCGGGGAGGCGUUACCCGCAGAAGAAGCACCGGCUAACUCCGUGCCAGCCGCCGCGGUAAUAC
rnacentral:rRNA from 1 species